rnacentral:rRNA from 1 species
AACCUACGGGCGGCAGCAGUGGGGAAUUUUGCGCAAUGGGGGAAACCCUGACGCAGCAACGCCGCGUGCGGGACGAAGGCCCUCGGGUUGUAAACCGCUUUCAGCAGGGGAGAAACUGACGGUACCUGCAGAAGAAGCUCCGGCUAACUACGUGCCAGCAGCCGCGGUAAUACGUAGGGAGCGAGCGUUAUCCGGAUUCAUUGGGCGUAAAGCGCGCGUAGGCGGCCGGCUAAGUCGGGAGUCAAAGCCCGGGGAUCAACCCCGGCGCGCUCCAGAAACUGGCCGGCUUGAGUCUGGCAGGGGAAGGCGGAAUUCCCAGUGUAGCGGUGAAAUGCGCAGAUAUUGGGAAGAACACCGGUGGCGAAGGCGGCCUUCUGGGCCACGACUGACGCUGAGGCGCGAAAGCUGGGGGAGCGAACAGGAUUAGAUACCCCAGUAGUCC